AUUGAACGCUGGCGGCAGGCUUAACACAUGCAAGUCGAGCGGGGGAAGGUAGCUUGCUACCUAACCUAGCGGCGGACGGGUGAGUAAUGCUUAGGAAUCUGCCUAUUAGUGGGGGACAACAUUUCGAAAGGGAUGCUAAUACCGCAUACGCCCUAAGGGGGAAAGCAGGGGAUCUUCGGACCUUGCGCUAAUAGAUGAGCCUAAGUCGGGUUAGCUAGUUGGUGGGGUAAAGGCCUACCAAGGCGACGAUCUGUAGCGGGUCUGAGAGGAUGAUCCGCCGCACUGGGACUGGGACACGGCCCAGACUCCUACGGGAGGCAGCAGUGGGGAAUAUUGGACAAUGGGGGGAACCCUGAUCCAGCCAUGCCGCGUGUGUGAAGAAGGCCUUUUGGUUGUAAAGCACUUUAAGCGAGGAGGAGGCUACCGAGAUUAAUACUCUUGGAUAGUGGACGUUACUCGCAGAAUAAGCACCGGCUAACUCUGUGCCAGCAGCCGCAGUAACAC
rnacentral:rRNA from 1 species